rnacentral:rRNA from 1 species
GACGAACGCUGGCGGCGUGCUUAACACAUGCAAGUCGAACGGAAAGGCCCUGCUUUUGUGGGGUGCUCGAGUGGCGAACGGGUGAGUAACACGUGAGUAACCUGCCCUUGACUUUGGGAUAACUUCAGGAAACUGGGGCUAAUACCGGAUAGGAGCUCCUGCUGCAUGGUGGGGGUUGGAAAGUUUCGGCGGUUGGGGAUGGACUCGCGGCUUAUCAGCUUGUUGGUGGGGUAGUGGCUUACCAAGGCUUUGACGGGUAGCCGGCCUGAGAGGGUGACCGGCCACAUUGGGACUGAGAUACGGCCCAGACUCCUACGGGAGGCAGCAGUGGGGAAUAUUGCACAAUGGGCGGAAGCCUGAUGCAGCAACGCCGGGUACGGGAUGACGGCCUUCGGGUGGUAAACCGCUUUCGCCUGUGACGAAGCGUGAGUGACGGUAAUGGGUAAAGAAGCACCGGCUAACUACGU